AUAGGUAAGAAUGUACCGUAAUUUUAAGACCAUUAUGGUACCAUUAUGGUAGGUACUGGGUAGUUACCCGUGCUAUUUUUCUAGAAAAAGAGGUGCCAGAACUCCCUAUGACCGCCUCCCUUGUUUCUUAUAAUGGCAAUGGUCACUUAAGAGGUGCUGGAACUGAAUUCCAGUGAGUUCUGGCUGGAAAAAAAACUCUGGUAGUUGCACAGUAGUAUUCAGUUCAGACCUUUUGUUGGUUGAGGUGGAAGGAAACGCAAAACAGCCCCUGAAGUUGUAGCCAUCAAGCAGAGAUUUUCUAACUGGUGAGUUUGUCCUCUGGCCAAGGGAAUGUGGCUCUGACAUCAUAUACAGCCUGCUGUAACAAAUUUCCAAGGCACUUUGGGGACAAAAUCUCUCAGAUUCCAACAGAGGUUGACAUCACAGUCAGACCAAAUUGGUGGAGGUGUCCAGAGCACAGUCCGUUCCAUUUGACUGGGUCACUUUUGGUUAUUGUGGCUUGAGGAUGUGGAACAAGCUGCUCGAGGAAGAGUGGACUUCCUUGACCCCUGCCCAUCUUCGCUUCUCUCAGAGCUAGCCAUGGUGAAUUGACUGGGGACACCCAGUAAGUGAUUAAUGCUUCACUGGAGGAAUGGAAGUUUGUAUAUACCUGGAAGGAGGAGGCAGUGCUUCCGCUACUUAAGAGGACCUCCUUGGAUCCAGAAGUGUUACAUAACUAUCAGCCCAUGGCAGAUGUCUACUUUUUGAGCAAGGUCCUUGAGAGGGUGGCAGCAGCCCACCUUCACAUAUGUUUGGAGGAAACUGAUCACCUGGAUCCAUUUCAGCUUGGCCAGGCCAUUGCACUGAAACUUUCUUGGUCUCACUGGUUGAGGACAUUUGAAGGGAAGGUGAUGGAAGUGUGCCCCUGCUCGUUCUCCUUAACCUCUUGGCGACUUUUGAUACCAUUGCCUAUGGUGUCCUUCUGCAGCAGACAGGGAAGUUGAAGUGGGGGACAUUGUACUCUGGUGGUUCUGCUCCUAUCCCCAGAGCCAUUUCCAGAAAUAAGUUGUGUGAGCGUCACUGUUCAGCAUGAUAGGAGCUGCCCUGUGGCAUCCAACAGGGUUUCAUCUUGUCCCCCAUGAUAUUUAACAUUUCUCUGAAAUAGCUGGAAAGUAUCAUCAGGAGAACUAGAGUGAGGUACCACCAAUAUGCAGAUGACAUCCAGGUCUUUCUCUCUUUCUCUCUUCCAUCUGAAUCAGUAGAGGCAGUUGAGGUGCUAGAUUGGUACAUGGAGGUGGGGAUGGCCUGGCAGUGGGCCAAUAAAUUGAAGCUGAAUCCUGCAAAGAGAGAGAUGUUAUCUAUUUGGAGUUCCCAAGUUCAGAAGGUGGGGAGGCAGCCUGUUCUGGAGGGCGCUGUACUCCCUUGGAAGGAGCAGGUCUGUGGCUUGGGAGCACUCCUGAAGCCAACAUUUUUGCUGGAGGUUCAGGUUGCAUUGGAGUGUCUGAUUUCACCUCUGGCUAGUUUCUUCUGUCCCUUUUAGACAGAGAAGACUUCGCCACUGUAUUCCAUGUUCUGGUGCUUUCUAGACUGCAUUAUUGCAGCAUGCUCUAGAUGGGCCCACCUUGAAGACAACUCAGAAAUAUCUACAGAGCCACAUGCAGCCACCAGAUUACUGGCUGGGGUUCCAUUUAGAACUCGCAUGACCAGCUGCACUUGUUACCAGUUCAUUUCUGGACCCUAUUCACGUUCAUGUUUAAAGCCCUAAAUGACUUAGACCCUAAAUAUCCGAAAAGCUGGCCCCUUUCCUACAGACCGUCUUGUGGGUGAGCAGAGGCCCUCUUUGUAGUUCCACCACCCAUAAAAGUCUGGGGGUGGAUACCCAAGAGAGGGCAAUCUCUGCAGCAGCCACCAAGCUGUGGGAUUCUUACAAAAUCAUUCAUUUUUCAUUGUACGCUGAAGACACACUUCUUUACUCUGGCCGUUAACACUCAAGAUAUAAUUUUCUCUUUGGUGUAAUUCAUUUCAGUUGGUUAUUAUAUUGUAUUUUUAAAUUGCUAUAACCCCCCUUGGGACCUCAUGGUGAAGGAUGAGUAAGAAAUCUAAAUCAUCAUUGUCAUCUUUAGGACCUGUACAAAGCUGGUUAAAUUUCACCGAGGCUUUGUUGAGAUUCCUACAUUGCAAGGGGUUGGACAAAAUAACCCCUGGGGUCCCUUCUAUGAUUUAAAGUGAAGUAGCUGGGGGUGUCCCUUCCCCAACCUUUUCUCUUAAAUAGAGGGGGGAAAGCCUUACCACCACUUCAAGUGACUGCACUCAAAGCAGUCUAGUAAUGCUUCCCUCUAGCUGCUUUUGCAUAUGUAUAGAAAACAUGCAGUGAACUCGGUGAACAGUCACAGAUUUCUAACUCAUGUGACCUCAGCCUUAGGCUUUUUAAUGCAAUCUGGUUCUGGGCUUUGCAACUGAGUGUGGGACAGGAGCUGAGAGUGGUUAUGAGAGGGUUGAGGAAAACAGCGUUAAGUGUGUUGCUAGAUCCAUCUUUUAACAACCCUGCAUCCCAAACCAGAUAUCUUCUUGUGCAGCAGAAGGAUGCAGCCACACAAAGGCAUGGAGGAUUCCACAAACUCACCUGCCAAGGAAAGAGCUGGUGCUGGAUGCGAGUGGGCGAUGCAAAAUUACCCAGCCAGCUUAGAAAGGGAAGGAAAUGGAUCCAGGUAUUUGAAGAAAAUACCGUGAAUGAUGGUGGGUGCAGCCCUUUAGCUAGCAGAGAUUUCACACUUCAAUAGGCUCUUCAAGCAAGCAUUCCUCUUGGCUUAAAGUAGAAGUUAGUCACUCUGGGUGAAAGCCCCUCACAUCCAUGCACAGGUGGAAUGGGCUUCCACUUGCACAAGAAGGUUUCUCUUUGCUCUUUUGCCCACUGAAGCCCCGCCCCCCAUCAAGGAGAGGAAGUCCAUUCCUGUACGACUUUGGAUUCCACCCACUAUGAGUUCCAUAGGAACACAUCUGCAAAACAGUGAGAGUGAGUCUCAAUCCCUUAACUGACAUUGCUUUUGUGAAAACUAGAUAAUAGCAUAAAUAGUAGUUGUUUGGUUUCACUGACAGCAGUUUAUAACACACACACACACACACGGGGCUUCUUCUGUAGACCUGAUGGCAUAUGGGGGUGGAGAGGGCAAUUUAGAUAAGGAACGAAGAAUUCACCUUGCUAUCUGCAAAAAAGCCCAAACCAGUUGGCAAAGCCCUGCAUUUUCAAAUUUAAAGAAACAGGAUAUCUAAUUGCAGACCUCCCUCAUUAUAUAAAGUUUAGACCUCAAACUCUGCCUAUCCGUUCCUUCCCAGCAACCAGAACAAACAUCAGACUGUUUCACAUGAUCACUUCAUCCACUGAAAAGGCAAUUCAACACUGAAGGGACUUUGCUCAUACUAUCUUCUUUCAGCUGAAAGCUGCAUUUCUCAGAACUCUGCCAAAAACAUCUGAACCACGAAGAAUAGUUUGAGGGCACAUGAUUCAGCUCCACUCCUGAAGGCAAGCAAGCCCUGGAGAUCUGCACAGGGUAUUGGUUUUCAGAUACUUGAAGGUGGUUUUGUAGAGCUAACAUUUCCUGACCAAAUCAGUUUUGCAGAUUUCUGCAAAACCAGGGAAGACCUGAAACUAGCUCUUAGCAAUAUGCCAUCACAGCUGCAAUAGACCGAGGGGCAUUUUGGUAUUCAAGUAAUGGCCACCCUCCCAGUCCUUGCAAUAAUCGGGAAAUUUAGACCAAUUGUCCCAUAAAUAUUUUUGCCUGUGCAUAGUCUGAUUGUGGCUAGUAGACUGAUGGGAACUGCAGGUACAGCAGUCUGAAUCUCUGGCAUGAGGGCAUGGCACAAAUCGAUCGCGUCGGGAUGCUACAUGCACUAGUUCACUUAAAAACUGGAUCCAGUUCUACUUCCACUUGCUGUGUGUGCAUGAAAACUCAAUUUUCUCAUAGAAUCUGAAGUACUUGGCACAUGUGGGAAACCAGUAUGUGUAACCAAAAAGGGUAGGUACUGAUUUACACAUACUGUUUCUUACCAAUGUCAACAAAAGGAAGUAUAACUAUCACAUUAAGGUGGGAGGGAUAGGAUCUGAUGCACGGAGGCUGCUGCUCUAUCACACUUAGCUGGUACUGACAUCUGAAAUCCUUUACGCACUUAUCUGAAAGUUAAGGGUAUUUCCACAUUAGCAGCUUAAAAUGGAGCAUGGUCCUUUUCUCUGCACUGCGUUUCAAGACACAUUUGCACACACCAGAGGGUGGGGAUUUCAUCGCCUGAAGUGCACUUUGGCUUCCCUGCCCCCACCAGCCCUGCUUCUGCCUGGAAAUUCUAUUCUCAAUUAAAUAUCCUUUAUUAGGCAUAGCAAACCACACAUUAUCAAACAGACACCGUAUACAAAUUGUGCAAAAUACGAGCUCAGCAUAACAAGGUUUGUCCCAGUCAGAUCUUUAACUCCAGAGGAAAUCAGUUUGCAUAAAUAAUACAAUACAACACUACCACAUCACUGAUCAGUUAAGAACCACUAAAUCUCUUUAUAAUGGCCCAGUCUUUCUACAUGGACAGCACUCAAAAAUUCAGCCACUAUUAAAGUAAUUUGAUCAUUCCUGUCUGAAAGCAGGUCCUGAACCGUUGGUAUCGUAGAAUUCAGCCUAUUGAGUUGUAAGGCCUCUAAUAAUUGUCUUCUGGCAUAAAUGCCAAAAUCACAAGAAAAGAAAAUAUGCUCCAAAGUAUCAGGUUCCUGUUUACUACAUUUGCAGAGACACUCUGAUUCUGGGAGAGCUAAAUAUCUUCCUCUCACUAUCAUCGAGGGAAACAUAUUAAAUCUGGCUAACAGAAACAGCCUGCACAAUUCACGAUUCUUCAGAUUUGUCAUGUAUCCGAAACUCUAUUCAUGAAGCUGCCAUCUGCGCUCAUCUCUGUGUGCACGACACUUGUCUAAAAUGAUGCACACACUCUUCUUAAGCAUGAAGUGAAUGUGGUUUAAGUUUUCCAGUUGGACUGAAGCUGGCUUGAGGGGAAACCAAGCCAACAGCGAUAUUUGUUGAGAAACUACAGGGACAAUAUGGAUUGUGGCUAAUGUUCUGUGAAUGUGGCUUCCAAAGCUAGCCAUGGGAGUGCACUGGAUGUGGAGCAAGCAGUAAUGUGAACAUACCCCAACUCAUUGGUAUUAGUGGGACUUUCCUUAUACUCAGCUUGCUUCUGAGUAGAUAUCUAUAGAAUAGCACUCUCAGUCUUGUGAAAUUCAGUAAGAUUUACCUCCGAAUUGGCAUGCAUAAGAUUUCAAUCUUCUGAACAAUAUUUUCUUAAUAAAACUGAGGUGAACAUGUUUUGGCUUCCUGCUACAAAGAGGAGAACAACAGAUUUCUCUUUCUGAGAUGACAUGCUUCUUUAUAUCCCCAUAUGAAUUAUACUGCUAUGGAAUGUAAGGAAGUGUGUGGUUUCAAGAAGAUAAACCACCGGAAAGGUCUGUCCUCUUUCACACAAGCACAUACCUGUUCAUCUGUCUGCGUGAAUAGAUUUAAGGUGUCCAUUACAGCCUGCUAAGGUUUCUGCACUUGCUCAAAAAUCCAAAACCGCUUCCAUUCACUGAAAUGCAUGCAAUCAUAUGGCAACCUGUUAACAGACUCCCCCAAGAUAUUUUGAAAUGUAUUGUUUGAUUUUGCUGACUUUUGAAUCAUUUCCCUUCGUACUACAUAGCAAGUGCAAAUUAUGUUUAACUGGUCUUUUUGCUGGCAAACUUCUAGACAAUAACAAUGGGAAGGGAACAAUUGCAAUUGGAGAAUGGAAAUGGUGGUUUCAUUUAGAAAGUGCAAAAUGUGAAGUCACUUAUUGCUGGAAUCAAUAGAAAGUCACCGAAAUCAGCCAGAACCAAAACAUAUAGCAUAACAUGGGUGCACUUGACCUGAUAAAUGUACCUGAGGGGGGACAAAGGUCCACAAAAUGUACUUUGAAGAGAAUUGGCCAUGUUUUAUUAGCUCUGGAACAUAAGGACAUAUAUAUGGAAAGACCAGUGCUAAGGUCCUUUUCUUCAGGGGCACAUGAUUAAGCUCCACCCCCAGCACCAUGGGGUGCUAUUAAAACUUAACCAAAGGCUUAGCCACACUUAGGCAUGGUCUGCGCUUAAAAGCUCUGUGUCCGAGCCCCUUUUAUUUUUAUUUUUGCCCCAGAGCUUUUCCUGCAAAAACUAACCGGAGGAAACGGCAGUUGAUGUUUGCUCUGAUGGAGCAGUAAAGAGCUUUCGUGGGGAAAGCUCUGGGGAAGAAGAAGAAGAAGAAGAAGAAGAAGAAGAAGAAGAAGAAGAAGAAGAAGAAGAAGCAGCAGCAGCAGCAGCAGCAGCAGCAGCAGCAGCCAGGCAGUGCUGUGUCUGGAAAGAGUGGGGCAAACAGUAUGUGGGGAUAAGCCCUGAGUGGAGGAGGAG